AGAGCCCAAAAAACGCGACACCUGGAGCAAUCGCAGCCGCCCGGCGGCCUGGGCCUCAUUAUGGCCGGCCCUUAUCGCGGCGUGCAUCGCAUUAUUUCAUUUCAAAGAAUCCACUGAGAAGCCCGUCCCCGGCCGACAACAGAAAGUAAAAACACAGCUGACUCCCAUUAGGGCCCUCUCACAGGCUCCGCGUGAGCGACCCAUCAAGCCGCUGAUGGGUUCUACAGAUGCGCGAGCAUCCUCCUUCAGCUCCCUGGGUUGUGGGGGUCUCAAUCAGACCUGUCUUCACUGGGCCCACCCUAUUUUCUGGUGGCUUUUGCAGGGCUGGAAGAAGGGGCCUUUCUUAAAGGGGAAAGUGGGAACAAAGCCUCCAACAAAUUAUACAGUCGAGUUUCUGUCGUUUGAGGAAAUGACAUUGGUCAGCACAUCUGGAGUACAAUGGAUAAGCCUCAUCCUGGAUCUCCCUGCCUGGUAACUAUGAAACAAGGCAGCCUGCUGAGCUAUAUGGAGCGCUCAAAGGAAUGUGUCCAAAGCAGGAGACAGCCUCCUAUCCCCUGAUGAGCGUCAUCAAUGUAUGAGCAGCCUCUCCCACUCCCCAGUCUAUGCCACACUCCAUCUUACAUGAGCCACAUGGCAGAAGGCACCAGGAAAGCAGAAGCAGCGAUGCCUUCCUAAGAGACACCAGGAAAGGGAAAGAAGGGUGGGUGUUGCCAGCCAUGGAGGGAGGGGAGAAGCUGCCAGUUACAAGGUUCUUGUUCAUGUAGCUGUGCUACCUCCUCAGCAGCGAGCUUCUGUGGGGGUUGUCCUGGAUUCACUUCCAGUCUGGUAGGAGAUCAUAACACAAAAGAAGUACCCAUUGCUUUCUACAUACACCUGAAUUUAGUCCUCGGAACCCAUGUUUUAAAAGGCCAGGUAUGGUGGUGAGCCUGUAAUCUCAGAGCUGGAGAAACAGAAAUAAGAGGAUCCCUGGGGCUCAGUGGACAGCCAGCCAAGCUUAACCUGCAAGUUCCAGACCAAGUAAGAGACAUUGUCUCAAGGUGGGUGGAGUCUAAGAAACAGAGUGACUCCUGGAGUUGCCCUCUGUCAUCAUAUGCACAGGCACACGGAGACACGUGUACCCUCACACAAGUGUACCAACAUACAUGACCACAAACAUGAGGCAACCACCAAGGGAUUCCUGUGAACUCAGAGAUUUGUCUGUAAGAGCUGACAUCUAGAAAAGAAAGGUGACCGUAAGGAUUCAGUGAUAUGGAAAGAAUCACAUAUGGAAGGACCAAAUGAGAUGGCACAAGGCUAGGUACUUUAUGUCCUUCACCUACUCCAUGUCAACUUCGAUGUGCUGUUGUGCUGAUGAGAUGUGGCAAUGCGAAGUUGCCAUUUCCAGAGAGGGGAAGGCCUGUUUGGAGCAUCAGCUAACUCCUUUGGUGUAAAUUCUCUCACAGUUGCAGAUUUCAAGUUGCCAAAAUGAUAUUAACCAACUCACAGGAGUCCUCAAAAAAGCUGGAUAAUCAUUGGCUAUUCAGGUUGAUCCCAGAGUACCACUGGGUCCAGCUAUCUGAGGUGCUCUCAGCUGCAAGAGAAUUCUGAGCACAACAUCUCAGCCCAAGACUUGCAUUCAAAUGGCAUCUCCAUACUAAGGUUUGUGCCCAGAAGUCACAAACCCACCGAUAAUAACAUAACACAAGUACAGCUACUAUCUUCUGAAGAUCUGUCCUAGGCCAGGUUCCCCCUUCUGAAGUUUGUUUUGUUUUUAUAAGUCAAUGUGUUAAUUUGCACAGUCACUGAUAUAUACUACUAUUAUUCUUUUCUGUAGAUGAGAAAAAACAAGGGUUAGUUUUUAACCUCUGAUCACACAGCUUACUUUGUACUCCAGAAGCUGUCUCAAAAAACAGUCCUCUGUGAAUAACUCCCUUCUUCCAUUCGUUCAACACACAGCAGAUAGAAGCCAGAGUACACUCCUUGGUACUCAGAACCCUUUGGGGGUCAGGUUAAGACAAUUGGCCUAGAUGCUGUCAAUCAGUGUAGCUACUGGAAAUCUGGGUUCAGUAAAAGGAACAGUGAGGUUGAGGGUGAGUGGUGGGUGGGGUUGGACGCUGUGUCUGGAUCUGUGGCAGAAACAUCCAGUUUUCUGUGUGCAGCAGUGAUGAGGGCUCUGGUAUCCAGCUCAAAAGGUACAGAAAAUCUGUGAGCAAGCAAUGGUUUUUACUGAAAAUGUCCCCACAGAUGGCUCAAGCUAGCUCAAGCCAUCUUCCUGGGGUGCCCCCCAACCUGUGAGCUACUCAACAGCCCAUAAUAAAUUUCUACUCUC
rnacentral:lncRNA from 1 species